GACGAACGCUGGCGGCGUGCCUAAUACAUGCAAGUAGAACGCAGUUGCGAACGGGUGAGUAACGCGUAUGUAAAUGCCUUAUAGCAGGGGGUAACUAUCGGGAACGAUAGUUAAUACCGGAUACUGUGGGAUGGACCUGCGUUGUAUUAGCUAGUUGGGGAGGUAAAGGGUCACCACGGCGACGAUACAUAGCCGACCUGAGAGGGGUAUCGGCCACACCGGGAAUGGGGAACGGGCCAGACCCCUACGGGAGGCAACAGGAGGGAAACUUCGGAAAUGGGCGGAAGUCUGGCCGAGCAAAGCCGCGUUAGUGAAGAAGGUUUUCGGAUCGUAAAGCUCUGUUGUGAGAGAAGCGGUAACUAACGAGAAAGGGACGGCUAACUACGUGCCAGCAGCCGCGGUAAUUC
rnacentral:rRNA from 1 species